rnacentral:rRNA from 1 species
UACGUAGGGACCGAGCGUUGUCCGGAUUCAUUGGGCGUAAAGAGCUCGUAGGCGGCUGCUCAAGUCGAAUGUGAAAACUCGAGGCUCAACCUCGAGCCUGCAUUCGAUACGGGGCGGCUAGAGUCUGGUAGGGGGAUCUGGAAUUCCUGGUGUAGCGGUGGAAUGCGCAGAUAUCAGGAGGAACACCGGUGGCGAAGGCGGGAUCCUGGGCCAGUACUGACGCUGAGGAGCGAAAGCGUGGGGAGCAAACAGG